rnacentral:pre_miRNA from 13 species
CCAUCAUCAGUUUUUACGUGUAGCGUUGUUGCUGCUUUAAGCCUUGGCUUUUCUUGCUCGGCAAAAAAUACUUGCCAAGGCUUAAAGCAGCAACAACGCUACACGUAAAAACUGAUGAU